GACGAACGCUGGCGGCGUGCUUAACACAUGCAAGUCGAACGGAAAGGCCCUGCUUUUGUGGGGUGCUCGAGUGGCGAACGGGUGAGUAACACGUGAGUAACCUGCCCUUGACUUUGGGAUAACUUCAGGAAACUGGGGCUAAUACCGGAUAGGAGCUCCUGCUGCAUGGUGGGGGCUGGAAAGUUUCGGCGGUUGGGGAUGCACUCGCGGCUUAUCAGCUUGUUGGUGGGGUAGUGGCUUACCAAGGCUUUGACGGGUAGCCGGCCUGAGAGGGUGACCGGCCACAUUAGGACUGAGAUACGGCCCAGACUCCUACGGCAGGCAGCCGUGGGGAAUAUUGCACAAUGGGCGGGAGUCUGAUGCAGCAACGCCGCGUGCGGGAUGACGGCCUUCGGGUUGUAAACCGCUUUCGCCUGUGACGAAGCGUGAGUGACGGUAAUGGGUAACAAAGCACCGGCUAACUACGUG
rnacentral:rRNA from 1 species